rnacentral:rRNA from 1 species
UACGGGGGGGGCAAGCGUUGUUCGGAAUUACUGGGCGUAAAGGGCGCGUAGGCGGCCUUCUAAGUCGGACGUGAAAUCCCUCGGCUCAACCGAGGAACUGCGUCCGAUACUGGAGGGCUUGAAUCCGGGAGAGGGAUGUGGAAUUCCAGGUGUAGCGGUGAAAUGCGUAGAUAUCUGGAGGAACACCGGUGGCGAAGGCGGCAUCCUGGACCGGCAUUGACGCUGAGGCGCGAAAGCUAGGGGAGCGAACGGG